UACGUAGGGUGCAAGCGUUGUCCGGAAUUAUUGGGCGUAAAGAGCGUGUAGGCGGCCCGAUUAGUCCGCUGUGAAAGUCCAGGGCUCAACCCUGGAAUGCCGGUGGAUACUGUCGGGCUAGAGUCCGGAAGGGGCGAGUGGAAUUCCUGGUGUAGCGGUGAAAUGCGUAGAUAUGUGGAAGAACACCUGUGGCGAAAGCGGUUUUCUAGCUUACACCUGACGCUGAGGCGCGAGAGCAAGGGGAGCAAACAGG
rnacentral:rRNA from 1 species